CGCUGGCGGCAUGCCUUACACAUGCAAGUCGAACGGCAGCACGGAGCUUGCUCUGGUGGCGAGUGGCGAACGGGUGUGUAAUAUAUCGGAACGUACCCAGGAGUGGGGGAUAACGUAGCGAAAGUUACGCUAAUACCGCAUACGACCCAAGGGUGAAAGUGGGGGAUCGCAAGACCUCAUGCUCAUGGAGCGGCCGAUAUCUGAUUAGCUAGUUGGUGGAGUAAAGGCCUACCAAGGCAACGAUCAGUAGCUGGUCUGAGAGGACGACCAGCCACACUGGAACUGAGACACGGUCCAGACUCCUACGGGAGGCAGCAGUGGGGAAUUUUGGACAAUGGGGGCAACCCUGAUCCAGCAAUGCCGCGUGAGUGAAGAAGGCCUUCGGGUUGUAAAGCUCUUUUGUCAGGGAAGAAAAGGUCGCAGCUAAUAUCUGUGGCUCAUGACGGUACCUGAAGAAUAAGCACCGGCU
rnacentral:rRNA from 1 species